rnacentral:rRNA from 1 species
CUUGAUUUGUUAUAAGAGGUCCAGCCUGCCCAGUGACCAUGUUCAACGGCCGCGGUAUCCUAACCGUGCGAAGGUAGCGUAAUCACUUGUUCUUUAAAUGUGGACUAGUAUGAACGGCAUCACGAAGGUUAUACUGUCUCCUUUUUCUAAUCAGUGAAACUAAUCUCCCCGUGAAGAAGCGUGGAUAAAAUUAUAAGACGAGAAGACCCUAUGGAGCUUUAAACAACACAGCACUUACUUGAGAACCUUGAAUGUUUCUGUAACACUAACUCUUAGAGUAAGAUGACUGCAAGUUUUUGGUUGGGGUGACCACGGAGUAUAUCAUAACCUCCAUGUUGAAAGAAUUUUUCUAAGCCAAGAACAACCUAUCUAAGCAUUAAUAAAUUAACAUCUAUUGACCCAAUAAAUUUGACCAACGAAC